rnacentral:misc_RNA from 1 species
UUUUAAUUAAAAACUAGAAUGAAAGGUUAUACAUUCAAAUUUCUUUAUUAAUUUCUAAUUAAUAAUUUAUAUUAAAUAUAAAAAUAUACUUAUAAAAAAAAAAGACGACAAGACCCUAUUAAAUUUUACUUAUAGUUUAACUGGGGAAGUUUUUUAAUUAAAAUUUUUUAAAUUUAAUAAAUAAAAAUCUAAUAAAAUUAAAACUUUAACAAAUUACUAUAGGGAUAACAGCAUUAUAUUUUUUAAAAGUUCAUAUUAAAAAAAAUGAUUAUGACCUCGAUGUUGAAUUAUAUUUUCUAUAUUUAAUGCAAUAAUUAUAAAAGUAGAUCUGUUCGAUCUUUAAAAUAUUACAUGAUUUGAGUUCAAACCGGUGUAAACCAGGUUGGUUUCUAUCUUUUUAUAUAUUUUUCCAGUACGAAAGGACAAACAAAUUUUUAUUUUAAUAAAUUAGCAAAUAAAUGCAUUAGAUUUAGAAUCUAAAUAUAUUUAAUAAUU